rnacentral:rRNA from 1 species
UUAAGCUAUAAAGAGCAUAGGGUGGAUGCCUAGGCACUGAGAGCCGAUGAAAGACGUGAUAAGCUGCGAUAAGCUGCGGUAAGGAGCAAAUAUCCAUUGACCCGCAGAUUUCUGAAUGGGGAAACCUACGCAAGAAGACCUUGCGUACUCAUACAUGAAUACAUAGUGUAUGAGAGGGAACCCGGGGAACUGAAACAUCUAAGUACCCGGAGGAAGAGAAAGAAACAUCGAUUUCCUGAGUAGCGGCGAGCGAAAGGGAAAGAGCCCAAACCAGAGGAUUUAUCCACUGGGGUUAGGACUGCAUAAUUGAUCUGCAAUUGAUAGGAGAACGGUCUGGGAAGUCCGGCGAGAAAGCGUGAAAGCCGCGUAUCCGAAAUCGAAAGCAGCAAGGCAGUAUCCAGAGUACCACGAGACACGAGAAACCUUGUGGGAAUGAGCGGAGACCACUCCGUAAGGCUAAAUACUACUCAGUGACCGAUAGCGCAUAGUACUGUGAAGGAAAGGUGAAAAGGACCCCGGGAGGGGAGUGAAAGAGAACCUGAAACCCUGUGUUUACAAGCUGUCGAAGCACGCAAGUGCGACGGCGUACUUUUUGUAGAACGGUCCGGCGAGUUAUGAUGAGUGGUAAGGUUAAGGACUUAAGGUCCGGAGCCGAAGCGAAAGCGAGUGUUAAAAGCACGUAGAAUCGCUUAUCAUAGACCCGAAACCGGGUGAUCUAUCCAUGUCCAGGUUGAAGCUGCCGUAAGAGGUAGUGGAGGACCGAACACACAUCCGUUGAAAAGGGUGGUGAUGAGGUGUGGAUAGGGGAGAAAUUCCAAUCGAACCCGGAGAUAGCUGGUUCUCCUCGAAAUAGCUUUAGGGCUAGCCUCGAUUUAGUCUUAUGGAGGUAGAGCACUGAAUUUCCGCGGGGGCGUCAAAGCUUACCAAAGAAUAUCAAACUCCGAAUGCCAUGUAGAUGAUGAUCGGGAGUCAGACUGCACGAGAUAAGUUGGGCAGUCAAAAGGGAAAGAGCCCAGACCACCGGCUAAGGUCCCAAAGUGCGUGUUAAGUGGAAAAGGAUGUGGGAAUUCGAAGACAACUAGGAUGUUGGCUCAGAAGCAGCCAUACAUUCAAAGAGUGCGUAACAGCUCACUAGUCGAGAGUUCCUGCGCCGAAAAUGUCCGGGGCUGAAACACGACACCGAAGCCGUGGACUCGCAAUGCGAGUGGUAGAGGAGCAUUCUUAAAACCGACGAAGCUGUACCGUAAGGAGCAGUGGAGGGAUAAGAAGAGAGAAUGCCGGAAUGAGUAGCGAGAGAAAGGUGGGAAUCCUUUCGGCCGAAUAUCUAAGGUUUCCAGAGUAAAGCUGAUCUGCUCUGGGUAAGUCGGGGCCUAAGCACAGGUCGCAAGACGUAAGCGAUGGAUAACAGGUUUAGAUUCCUGUACCACGCAUUAUCAGAACUGUAGGGACGCAUGUGGAAAGCACGAGCCGGGAAUGGAAAGACCGGUACAAGCGAGGUAGGUGUACAAUAGGCAAAUCCGUUGUAUAAUCCGAAGACGUGAUGUGGAGCGAAAUAAAGUAGUGAAGCGUGUGAGCCAUGUGCCGAGAAAAGCUGCUAUUGUGUAAUGCGUGCCCGUACCGUAAACCGACACAGGUGGAUGAGGAGAGAAUCCUAAGGCCGACGGAAGAAGCAUUGUUAAGGAAUUCGGCAAAAUGACCCCGUAACUUCGGGAGAAGGGGUGCCUGCGAGAGCAGGCCGCAGAGAAUAGGCUCAAGCAACUGUUUAGCAAAAACACAGGUCUAUGCGAAACCGAAAGGUGAAGUAUAUGGGCUGACGCCUGCCCGGUGCUGGAAGGUUAAGAGGAGAGGUUAGCGCAAGCGAAGCUUUGAAUUUAAGCCCCAGUAAACGGCGGCCGUAACUAUAACGGUCCUAAGGUAGCGAAAUUCCUUGUCGGGUAAGUUC